rnacentral:rRNA from 1 species
AACGAACGCUGGCGGCAUGCUUAACACAUGCAAGUCGAACGAGACCUUCGGGUCUAGUGGCGCACGGGUGCGUAACGCGUGGGAAUCUGCCCUUAGGUACGGAAUAACACAGAGAAAUUUGUGCUAAUACCGUAUGAUGUCGAAAGACCAAAGAUUUAUCGCCUAAGGAUGAGCCCGCGUAAGAUUAGCUUGUUGGUGAGGUAAAAGCUCACCAAGGCGACGAUCUUUAGCUGGUCUGAGAGGAUGAUCAGCCACACUGGGCCUGAGACACGGCCCAGACUCCUACGGGAGGCAGCAGUGGGGAAUAUUGGACAAUGGGCGAAAGCCUGAUCCAACAAUGCCGCGUGAGUGAUGAAGGCCUUAGGGUUGUAAAGCUCUUUUACCAGGGAUGAUAAUGACAGUACCUGGAGAAUAAGCUCCGGCUAACUCCGUGCCAGCCGCCGCCGUAA